rnacentral:rRNA from 1 species
GGGGAAUCUUGCACAAUGGGGGCAACCCUGAUGCAGCGACGCCGCGUGAGCGAUGAAGCCCUCCGGGGCGUAAAGCUCUUUCGACCGGAACGAUAAUGACGGUACCGGGAGAAGAAGCUGCGGCUAACUUCGUGCCAGCAGCCGCGGUAAGACGAAGGGGGCAAGCGUUGUUCGGAAUUACUGGGCGUAAAGGGCGCGUAGGCGGUUUGCUUAGUCAGGCGUGAAAGCCCUGGGCUUAACCUGGGAUGUGCGCUUGAUACUGGCAGGCUUGAGUGUGGGAGAGGUUGGUGGAAUUCCCAGUGUAGAGGUGAAAUUCGUAGAUAUUGGGAAGAACACCGGUGGCGAAGGCGGCCAACUGGACCACAACUGACGCUGAGGCGCGAAAGCGUGGGGAGCAAACA